rnacentral:rRNA from 1 species
UACGUAGGGGGCUAGCGUUGUCCGGAAUCAUUGGGCGUAAAGCGCGUGUAGGCGGCCCGGUAAGUCCGCUGUGAAAGUCGGGGGCUCAACCCUCGGAAGCCGGUGGAUACUGUCGGGCUCGAGUACGGAAGAGGCGAGUGGAAUUCCUGGUGUAGCGGUGAAAUGCGCGGAUAUCAGGAGGAACACCGAUUGCGAAGGCAGCUCGCUGGGACGUAACUGACGCUGAGACGCGAAAGCGUGGGGAGCAAACAGG